CAAAGGUCUAGUGUGGUAAACCUUGUGAUUUCUGGACUUACCUCUGGCCUCAACUGUAUCACUCCAAGUCUCUCCCACACAAGAUCGUAGGUUGAGAACCACCAGACGAGAGAAUUCCUGGAGAGCUUCUGGUCUUCAGUCCUUGUUGGAAACCCAAACACAUAGCUUCUAAUAUUGGUGGAGGAAUGCCACAGCAAAGGGAUAAACUUGCCACAAGAGUGUGGAUGAACCAAGCAGGAUCUCCACGACUCUCGGCAGCUGUGGGAGACCCCAGGGAGUGUCCCUGAGGAUACAGUGAGGACAGUGUACCAGAAACCAGAGGCCUUCAACCUGACCAAUGACUCACUGCAAUGAGCAUUUGCUAGUAAAGCUGAUUGGACAAAAGGGUAUAUAUGCCAUGUGACACACCACCCCCAAUGCCAUCAGGAAGAAUGAAGAGGUGUUGGAGAAGCGGGAAAGAUGGAGAAGCAAAGAGGUUUUGUUGUUGUUGUUGUUUUUGUUUGCUUGCUUGCUUUGUUUUGUUUUGAUUCGAUUUUUUAAAAUUUUCUUUUGGGGGCUGCUACAGGGGUGAAUUACAGUGCUACAGGGAGGAUUACGGUGGGGACCGGGAGGUGAGUGGGUGAGUGGAAUUGAGAUGCAUGAUGUGAAAUUCCCAAAGAAUUAAUAAAGAAAUUAAAUUUAAAAAAUAUUUUUUAAAAAAGUGAGGACAAGCAGGCAAAAGUUACAUUUAGCAUGGCCUUCCUCUGAAUAAUCAAGUUGAGAAAAUUCCGCCGCCCCCCCCCCCAACCAGGGUGUCCAGCAAGUUGUGUGUUAGUUCAUUCCAGGUCCAGUCAAGUUGUCAACCAAAAUUAACCAGGCAUCCAGCAUGGCAAACUUGGGUCCUUUACCGAUCUCUGCCAAUCAGAAUUUAUACCCGUUUACCCUGAAUCUGGAAGCUGGUAAGUGAGAAUCGGUUGCAGGGAACACGUUCGGAAUCAGAGUAGCUUCUCUCAAUAGAAUAGCAGCUCCAAGAGGGAAAGGAAUGUUGUUUGCUCACUGCUCUCAUUCAAAAGCAGUAAAUGGCAAGUGUUUCUUCAACAGAUGGAUCAAGAACUCUGGGAAUGUCUCUGAAUUCAAGUCUUGGAAAUCCUUAGUCACAGUCUUGGUUAAAACUCAUAAAAUAACCAUUGUUCCACAUUCUGUGCUGCUGAGAUCUGAUCUAAGAUGUUGCCAAAGCUGCUGCAAAUAUCUGGAUGUCACCAGAACCUCAGGAAGAAUGCCACCUUUUUUUGUCAAGGAUGUACAGAAGCUGCAACUGAAUGUGGCAUACUAUUUGGUGUUUGCUGAAUGAGUGGAUUAGCUCACAACAUCUGCAGAGUAUGCACCUCUAAGAGUGUGUAGAGCCUGAACAAAAGCAAUGGCCAAAGGAUAUGUGAAGAGAAAGUCACCCCUCGGACCACACACUGAAGGCUGAUAAAGCCACCCACAUGCAACUCCAUCCUGAAAGAAAUACCAGUGUGCAGUAUAACCAGUGAGAGCCGCAGGA